GCCAGCAGCCAUGUCACCCUGCAACUUACAAUUGGCAACCCACUGAAGCUAAGCAGGUGUGAGCCUGGUCAAUACCUGGAUGGGAGACCUCCUGGGAAAAACUGGGAAAGGUUGCUGCUGGAA
rnacentral:rRNA from 1 species